UGAAUCACAUAAAAACUGUCA
rnacentral:snRNA from 1 species